rnacentral:rRNA from 1 species
UGGGGAAUUUUGGACAAUGGGCGAAAGCCUGAUCCAGCAAUGCCGCGUGUGUGAAGAAGGCCUUCGGGUUGUAAAGCACUUUUGUCCGGAAAGAAAUCCUUGGCUCUAAUACAGUCGGGGGAUGACGGUACUGGAAGAAUAAGCACCGGCUAACUACGUGCCAGCAGCCGCGGUAAUACGUAGGGUGCAAGCGUUAAUCGGAAUUACUGGGCGUAAAGCGUGCGCAGGCGGUUUGCUAAGACCGAUGUGAAAUCCCCGGGCUCAACCUGGGAACUGCAUUGGUGACUGGCAGGCUAGAGUAUGGCAGAGGGGGGUAGAAUUCCACGUGUAGCAGUGAAAUGCGUAGAGAUGUGGAGGAAUACCGAUGGCGAAGGCAGCCCCCUGGGCCAAUACUGACGCUCAUGCACGAAAGCGUGGGGAGCAAACAGGAUUAGAUACCCUGGUAGUCCACGCCCUAAACGAUGUCAACUAGUUGUUGGGGAUUCAUUUCCUUAGUAACGUAGCUAACGCGUGAAGUUGACCGCCUGGGGAGUACGGUCGCAAGAUUAAAACUCAAAGGAAUUGAC